AUGAAUAUAACAGCUACUGCUGUGAAGAGAGGCAAGAAGACCAGAAAAUCCGGUUUGCAAAAGUGUGGAGUCCCUCCAAAUGCAUCUUUCACAGGCAGAAUGAGAGAAGCAAAGCCCUUAAUUCCUCUCAAUCGACCGAAAGGAUUUACAGAACCAGAGAAUACAAAUGUUACCGGAUGUUUCCUAAAUACGUGACGUUAGGUGAGAUGUUAAUCAAGGACAGGCUUUCUGUCCUCUGAAAUUAAAACGGCCACUUCUAUGUUUUUCCCCCUUGUUCUUUCUUUCCUUCUCUUUUUUUUUCAUCCCGUCAUGGUCUGUUGUAUUUAUUCAUGGUUAGUUGGUAAGUAAAGGCGCACUUCAUAAAUCUAAGUGCACUCACUGACCUCUGUGUUGGCCUUCUGUCAAGACAUGCAACAAAACCAUGUCUUCACAACUUUGCACACUUUUCUGUUUCAGAGGUUGAAUUUUAUGAAAGUGGAUUUCAACUUUUAGUUUUUUUUCCUUUUUGAUUAAGAUCUCAAAAUACCCUUUCAUCAUUUAUUUUUCUAUUUGGUGAAAUCAUAAAUUUUACAAAUAAAAAAUAAUGAAAUAAAAUUUAUGUUUCA
ensembl:lncRNA